AUUGAACGCUGGCGGCAUGCCUUACACAUGCAAGUCGAACGGUAACAGGUCUUCGGAUGCUGACGAGUGGCGAACGGGUGAGUAAUACAUCGGAACGUGCCCGAUCGUGGGGGAUAACGAAGCGAAAGCUUUGCUAAUACCGCAUACGAUCUAAGGAUGAAAGCAGGGGACCGCAAGGCCUUGCGCGAACGGAGCGGCCGAUGGCAGAUUAGGUAGUUGGUGGGAUAAAAGCUUACCAAGCCGACGAUCUGUAGCUGGUCUGAGAGGACGACCAGCCACACUGGGACUGAGACACGGCCCAGACUCCUACGGGAGGCAGCAGUGGGGAAUUUUGGACAAUGGGCGAAAGCCUGAUCCAGCCAUGCCGCGUGCAGGAUGAAGGCCUUCGGGUUGUAAACUGCUUUUGUACGGAACGAAAAGACUCUGGUUAAUACCUGGGGUCCAUGACGGUACCGUAAGAAUAAGCACCGGCUAACUACGUGCCAGCCGCCGCCGUAA
rnacentral:rRNA from 1 species